rnacentral:rRNA from 1 species
GGGGAAUAUUGGACAAUGGGCGCAAGCCUGAUCCAGCCAUGCCGCGUGAGUGAUGAAGGCCCUAGGGUUGUAAAGCUCUUUCAACGGUGAAGAUAAUGACGGUAACCGUAGAAGAGGCCCCGGCUAACUUCGUGCCAGCAGCCGCGGUAAUACGAAGGGGGCUAGCGUUGUUCGGAAUUACUGGGCGUAAAGCGCACGUAGGCGGAUUGGUCAGUUAGGGGUGAAAUCCCAGGGCUCAACCCUGGAACUGCCUUUAAUACUGCCGGUCUAGAGUUCGAGAGAGGUGAGUGGAAUUCCGAGUGUAGAGGUGAAAUUCGUAGAUAUUCGGAGGAACACCAGUGGCGAAGGCGGCUCACUGGCUCGAUACUGACGCUGAGGUGCGAAAGCGUGGGGAGCAAAC